AUCAGUGUGGUGCGGUGGUUUGAGUGUUGGACUAUGAAUCUGAAUACCAGGGUUUGAAUCCCUGCUCAGCCA